AACGCGAAGAACCUUACCAGCCCUUGACAUCCCGGUCGCGGAUCGCAGAGAUGCUUUCCUUCAGUUCGGCUGGACCGGUGACAGGUGCUGCAUGGCUGUCGUCAGCUCGUGUCGUGAGAUGUUGGGUUAAGUCCCGCAACGAGCGCAACCCCCGCCUUCAGUUGCCAACGGUUCGGCCGUGCACUCUGGAGGAACUGCCUGUGACAAGCAGGAGGAAGGUGGGGAUGACGUCAAGUCCUCAUGGCCCUUAUGGGCUGGGCUACACACGUGCUACAAUGGCGGUGACAGAGGGAUGCAAUACCGCGAGGUGGAGCUAAUCCCUAAAAGCCGUCUCAGUUCGGAUUGUUCUCUGCAACUCGAGAGCAUGAAGUUGGAAUCGCUAGUAAUCGCGGAUCAGCUCGCCGCGGUGAAUACGUUCCCGGGCCUUGUACACACCG
rnacentral:rRNA from 1 species